GUGAGUAGUUCAGAGUUUGAUCCUGGCUCAGGAUGAACGCUGGCGGCGUGCUUAACACAUGCAAGUCGAACGAAGCACUUUAAUGGAUUUCUUCGGAAUGAAGCUUUAGUGACUGAGUGGCGGACGGGUGAGUAACGCGUGGGUAACCUGCCUCAUACAGGGGGAUAACAGUUGGAAACGACUGCUAAUACCGCAUAAGCGCACGGUAUCGCAUGAUACAGUGUGAAAAACUCCGGUGGUAUGAGAUGGACCCGCGUCUGAUUAGCUAGUUGGUAAGGUAACGGCUUACCAAGGCAACGAUCAGUAGCCGACCUGAGAGGGUGACCGGCCACAUUGGGACUGAGACACGGCCCAA
rnacentral:rRNA from 1 species